rnacentral:rRNA from 1 species
CCCAAACCGACACAGGUGGUCGGGUAGAGAAUACCAAGGCGCUUGAGAGAACUCGGGUGAAGGAACUAGGCAAAAUGGUACCGUAACUUCGGGAGAAGGUACGCUCUUGAUGGUGAAGUCCCUCGCGGAUGGAGCUGACGAGAGUCGCAGAUACCAGGUGGCUGCAACUGUUUAUUAAAAACACAGCACUGUGCAAAAUCGCAAGAUGACGUAUACGGUGUGACGCCUGCCCGGUGCCGGAAGGUUAAUUGAUGGGGUUAGCGCAAGCGAAGCUCUUGAUCGAAGCCCCGGUAAACGGCGGCCGUAACUAUAACGGUCCUAAGGUAGCGAAAUUCCUUGUCGGGUAAGUUCCGACCUGCACGAAUGGCGUAAUGAUGGCCACGCUGUCUCCACCCGAGACUCAGUGAAAUUGAAAUCGCUGUGAAGAUGCAGUGUACCCGCGGCUAGACGGAAAGACCCCGUGAACCUUUACUACAGCUUGGCACUGAACAUUGAACCUACAUGUGUAGGAUAGGUGGGAGGCUAUGAAGACGUGACGCCAGUUGCGUUGGAGCCGUCCUUGAAAUACCACCCUUGUAUGUUUGAUGUUCUAACUUAGACCCGUUAUCCGGGUUGAGGACAGUGCCUGGUGGGUAGUUUGACUGGGGCGGUCUCCUCCCAAAGAGUAACGGAGGAGCACGAAGGUGGGCUAAUCACGGUUGGACAUCGUGAGGUUAGUGCAAUGGCAUAAGCCCGCUUAACUGCGAGAAUGACGGUUCGAGCAGGUGCGAAAGCAGGUCAUAGUGAUCCGGUGGUUCUGUAUGGAAGGGCCAUCGCUCAACGGAUAAAAGGUACUCCGGGGAUAACAGGCUGAUACCGCCCAAGAGUUCAUAUCGACGGCGGUGUUUGGCACCUCGAUGUCGGCUCAUCACAUCCUGGGGCUGAAGUCGGUCCCAAGGGUAUGGCUGUUCGCCAUUUAAAGUGGUACGCGAGCUGGGUUUAGAACGUCGUGAGACAGUUCGGUCCCUAUCUGCCGUGGGCGUUGGAAGAUUGAAGGGGGCUGCUCCUAGUACGAGAGGACCGGAGUGGACGAACCUCUGGUGUUCGGGUUGUGUCGCCAGACGCAUUGCCCGGUAGCUAAGUUCGGAAUUGAUAAGCGCUGAAAGCAUCUAAGCGCGAAGCGAGCCCUGAGAUGAGUCUUCCCUGAUACUUUAAGUAUCCUAAAGGGUUGUUCGAGACUAGAACGUUGAUAGGCAGGGUGUGUAAGCGUUGUGAGGCGUUGA